UGGAGAUCUGAUGUGUGAGCGCGCUCACCAACAGGAACAGAUGCUGCCCGACACUUUCCUGCACAACACCAGAGAUAAAAAUAAAAUAAGAACAUCAGCAGCUGACUAACUUACGCACAUCAGGUUUGUGUAGGCUCGAGUUUACUUUGAGCUUCUUGUUGCACGUGGUUCCUGUGGUUACAGAAAAAGCUUGGCUUAGAAUAUAAUCAGCCACAAUUAGCAUCCAGCUUAGAGGCAUCUUAAUAAAUACAUAUAUAGCUGUGAUAAGCUGUGUGGUUUUUUGCACUUGUUUAUCUGAAAAAGUUAAUAUCAAAUCAUAUUUUAAUAUCAAAGAUGACCUGAGUAAAUAGAAAAAGCUGUGCUCAAAUAAUAAUUAUUAAGAGUGAACCAAACCAACUGGCGCUACAUAUGUGAAAGAGGAAAUGGCUCCUCUGACUGCUAUUUGGUCGUCACCCUUGAAUCUGGUUGUCACCCUGGUAACAGCAGCUGCUAAGCGCUGCUGCUAACAGGUGGUGAAUCUUUUACAUCACUGUGGAAGAGUUUUAGACCGUUUCUCUUUCCAGAAUUAGUUUAUUUUGGCCACACUGGGAGGUUUUCAAGCAUCAACACCCAGACUUUAACUAGGCCACUCCAAAAUCUUCUUUUCUUUCUUCCUUUUUUUUUGUUUUGCAUUUCUAAAGUGUAACAGGACACACACCUCCCAAAAUGUUCAGAUUAGUUCACAGAUAACUUUCUAAAAGGUCUUUGUGAUUGUAAACAUGACUUAGUGAGGCAGAACGAUGUGAUCUCUUGUGGUGGUUUUGGCAUUAGAUCCGAUGCCAUUUUGUCACUUCUCUUUCUUACUGCCAAGUCAUGACCGCCGACCUUAACUGAGGAAGCCGUAGAGGCAGACCGACACCCAGUUGGUCAGCAGCUUCUCCACCGUGGACUCAGUGCGCCUCAGCAGCAGUUUGGGCUGAGCGGCGGCGCUGUUCUUCUGCAUCAGGUCCUUCAGCAGGACCUCCAUCACCUCCGUCAGCGCGUGCACCAUGGUGGUGAGAAACAGCUGGUCCUGGAUCAGCCUGGAGAACUUCUGGCAGUGCUGAUCCAGCUCCACC